CUGUUCCCAUGGAAACAAGUCUACUAUAGAAGCAACCUGUUCCUGAAGUACAGCAACAGUCCAUUGAUCAGGGUGCAGCUCCCGUGACCUGUUAUUAUCAUCCUUUAAGCCCUACAUCUGAAUGGUUCCACUGGUUCAGCACCAUUCCCUGCAGAAUGAACUCCCCAUAAGGGAACCUGUCAGGGACAUAAGAUAUCCAAAUGACAGCAGUCUUCAUAGAAGAAAGUGCUUACAAUGAAAUACUGAAAUGAACUGGGUGAGGUAUGGUGGAUAUAAUUUUAAUGAAGUAAAAGUCACAAGAAUUAGAAUGAACUGCUAAUGCACAGCUGAGAACACGUCUAUAAGGCAAGCCCUUCAACAUGAAAUCCCUCAUGCUGUAAUUUCCUAAGCUGCUGAAGGAGGAAGCUUCUAUGACAGCUGCUAGGCAAGGCACUGAUCGGCGUGCUUUCAGUACUCAGAACUCGGCCAUCUGGACUGAAGCCUUCUCUGCACCAAUUAUCACCUCUGCCCCAUCAGCUCUCUCUCAAAAUGCCUUCAGGAAAUUUCAGAUCAGCUGACCAUCUGUCAGGACCAACUCGAUCUUUUGGCUGCUGCCGUUCUGUAGAACUAGACCUGACUACUGCUCAGGGAUACGUGACAGCAAUGGUGUGAUCCAUCACAGAAGGUCAAGUUAAAACUCUCCUCCUAAUAAAAGACCAGAGGACCCCCUCUUCCUGACCCCCUGAACAGGCAUCCCUUUCCUGUGGGAGAGUGUCUCUUCUUCACUGUUUUGAAGUGAACAGUGCCUUCUGCUGAAAUCACACUGGUCACUUUCUGCCUUCUGCCUCUCUAGGCUGUCUGAGGCAUCUAACUGUUUCAAAGCCACUGCAUAUCCAGUUCCGCGCACUUCAUCUUGAUCUUUCCACUCAUGGUUUUAAAGGAAGUCUCCAUGAUGGGUUCAUUCCCCAGAUGUCAACACAAUUUUCAUAGAACUACUAAUUAUUUUAAUUUCCCUGAUUCAAGAGUCACUUUAAUAAUCUGACUGCAAUAAUACAAGUGGCCUUCCUAGGCUUCAUGAGCAGCGCACAGUGUAUUAUUAUUAUUGGUGAAUGAAGGGACACCCAUGGAAUGGGGAAACACCUGUAAGUCACGCACCUGAUAAGAACCUGGCACUCUGAAUAUACAAAGAGCUACUCUAACUCAACAAUCAAAAAUAAACAUGACUUGAAAAUUGGCUAAGCAUCUGGAGCCCUUUCUUGAAAGAUGCAUGAGUAAAUGGACAAUAAGCACUCAAAGGUACAGCUAGCAGCAUUGAAAAGUGGACAUGUGGAUCCAAGCCACAUCAUACUCAUGGGCACCAUGGAAGAUCUUGAUCAGUCAAAGGGAAACCCAGACCUUCAGAUCCCACAUCAAGAUAUGUGAACGGACGCAACUAUUGAGUAGCCAGUUGAUUUGAUACCUAAAACAGCAUUUGAUGGCUAUACUUGGUUGUCAACUGCAUCCAGAGCCAACUACAAACUGAGUUGCUGGGAGCUUCAGUAGGGGAUUUUCUUGAUCAGAUUUUUUUAAAGUAGGAAGACCCAGCCUAAACGUCGGUAGCUCCUUCUGGUGACUUCCCAGAUAAAAGGACUUCUUUGCCCAGAGAUCUUAGGUGGGCUUUCCUCUGUUCUGCUCCUUUUUCUCCUAAACACGUUUCAUUGUUGUUAGAGUUCAGGAAGGGAGUUUCUAGCCUAAUGCUCCUCCAGCAAGAACUCUACCUCCUAAAACUUCUAAACCUCCCAAAGAACAGCACCACAACCUGGGGAAAUAAAUGUUCAGACAAACAGCCUGUGAAGGACACUCACACCCAACAGUGAUGUGCAGCCUUUCCUUUCUGGGGAUCCUUAUAGCUCCUUAAGGAGUUUUAUCCUAGAUCACUCAUGAAAACUAGCAAACUAAAGACACAGAAUUCUAGGAAUAGAUAAAAUAUGAACCACCAUUUCGUCCAACUGAGUGGUGGUUAGUAUUGAUUAUCAACUCACCACAACUGGAAUCACCUGGGAAGUCUCCAUGAAGAACUGUCUAGUUUUGGUUUUCCUAUAGGUGUGACUGUGGAUUUGUCUGGACAUCCCU
rnacentral:lncRNA from 1 species